AUUGAACGCUGGCGGCAGGCCUAACACAUGCAAGUCGAGCGGGGUUUUCGGACCUAGCGGCGGACGGGUGAGUAAUGCGUAGGAAGCUGCCCGAUAGAGGGGGAUACCAGUUGGAAACGACUGUUAAUACCGCAUAAUGUCUACGGACCAAAGUGUGGGACCUUCGGGCCACAUGCUAUCGGAUGCGCCUACGUGGGAUUAGCUAGUUGGUGAGGUAAUGGCUCACCAAGGCGACGAUCCCUAGCUGGUUUGAGAGGAUGAUCAGCCACACUGGAACUGAGACACGGUCCAGACUCCGACGGGAGGCAGCAGUGGGGAAUAUUGGACAAUGGGCGCAAGCCUGAUCCAGCCAUGCCGCGUGUGUGAAGAAGGCCUUCGGGUUGUAAAGCACUUUCAGUAAGGAGGAAGCGUUGAGUGUUAAUAGUACUCAGCGUUGACGUUACUUACAGAAGAAGCUCCGGCUAACUACGUGCCAGCCGCCGCCGUAAUAC
rnacentral:rRNA from 1 species